CAUGCAAGUCGAACGAGAAUCUACUGAAAGAGUUUUCGGACGAUGGAAGUAGAGGAAAGUGGCGGACGGGUGAGUAACGCGUGAGGAACCUGCCUUGAAGAGGGGGACAACAGUUGGAAACGACUGCUAAUACCGCAUGAAGCAUAGGGGUCGCAUGAUUCUUAUGCCAAAGAUUUAUCGCUUCAAGAUGGCCUCGCGUCUGAUUAGCUAGUUGGCGGGGUGACGGCCCACCAAGGCGACGAUCAGUAGCCGGACUGAGAGGUUGAACGGCCACAUUGGGACUGAGAUACGGCCCAGACUCCUACGGGAGGCAGCAGUGGGGAAUAUUGGGCAAUGGGCGCAAGCCUGACCCAGCAACGCCGCGUGAAGGAAGAAGGCUUUCGGGUUGUAAACUUCUUUUAAGAGGGAAGAGCAGAAGACGGUACCUCUAGAAUAAGCCACGGCUAACUACGUGCCAGCAGCCGCGGUAAUACGUAGGUGGCAAGCGUUGUCCGGAUUUACUGGGUGUAAAGGGCGUGCAGCCGGGUCUGCAAGUCAGAUGUGAAAUCCAUGGGCUCAACCCAUGAACUGCAUUUGAAACUGUAGAUCUUGAGUGUCGGAGGGGCAAUCGGAAUUCCUAGUGUAGCGGUGAAAUGCGUAGAUAUUAGGAGGAACACCAGUGGCGAAGGCGGAUUGCUGGACGAUAACUGACGGUGAGGCGCGAAAGUGUGGGGAGCAAACAGGAUUAGAUACCCUGGUAGUCCACACUGUAAACGAUGAAUACUAGGUGUGCGGGGACUGACCCCCCUGCGUGCCGCAGUAAA
rnacentral:rRNA from 1 species